rnacentral:rRNA from 3 species
AACGCGAAGAACCUUACCUGGUCUUGACAUCCACAGAACUUUCCAGAGAUGGAUUGGUGCCUUCGGGAACUGUGAGACAGGUGCUGCAUGGCUGUCGUCAGCUCGUGUUGUGAAAUGUUGGGUUAAGUCCCGCAACGAGCGCAACCCUUAUCCUUUGUUGCCAGCGGUCCGGCCGGGAACUCAAAGGAGACUGCCAGUGAUAAACUGGAGGAAGGUGGGGAUGACGUCAAGUCAUCAUGGCCCUUACGACCAGGGCUACACACGUGCUACAAUGGCGCAUACAAAGAGAAGCGACCUCGCGAGAGCAAGCGGACCUCAUAAAGUGCGUCGUAGUCCGGAUUGGAGUCUGCAACUCGACUCCAUGAAGUCGGAAUCGCUAGUAAUCGUGGAUCAGAAUGCCACGGUGAAUACGUUCCCGGGUCUUGUACACACCG